UACAGAGGGGGCAAGCGUUAUUCGGAAUUAUUGGGCGUAAAGGGCGCGUAGGCGGCCUGGCAAGUGGAAGGUGAAAUCCCUCGGCUUAACCGAGGAACUGCCCUCCAAACUGCUUGGCUUGAGUCCGGGAGAGGUGAGUGGAAUUCCCAGUGUAGCGGCGAAAUGCGUAGAUAUUGGGAGGAACACCAGUGGCGAAGGCGGCUCACUGGACCGGAACUGACGCUGAGGCGCGAAAGCGUGGGGAGCAAACGGG
rnacentral:rRNA from 1 species